rnacentral:rRNA from 1 species
GAUCAUGGCUCAGGAUGAACGCUAGCGACAGGCUUAACACAUGCAAGUCGAGGGGCAGCAUGAGGUAGCAAUACCUUGAUGGCGACCGGCGCACGGGUGAGUAACGCGUAUGCAACCUGCCCGAUACCGGGGGUAUAGCCCAUGGAAACGUGGAUUAACACCCAUAGUACUUUUAUCCUGCCUGGGAUGGGAGUUAAAUGUUCAAGGUAUCGGAUGGGCAUGCGUCCUAUUAGUUAGUUGG